UUACUGAGUAACUCGCAAUCGCUGUUGCUGGCCUUCGGGCAUGUGCACGCAUUGCAAACUCUUUAUCCCACACCUGUGAACCGUAACGAGGAGGGCCGCGUUCGCGUGGCUUUUCUCUUUCAUACACUACUUUGAUAAUUCAGAACGUCGUACAUUCAUAAAUGUAACAACUUUCAACAACGGAUCUCUUGGCUCUCGCAUCGAUGAAGAACGCAGCGAAUUGCGAUAAGUAAUGUGAAUUGCAGAAUUCAGUGAAUCAUCGAAUCUUUGAACGCACCUUGCACUCUCUGGUAUUCCGGAGAGUAUGCCUGUUCGAGUGUCGUGAAGUUCUCAACUUGCCUGCUUUGCGGCGGACAAGCUUGGAGUUGGAGCCCUGUCGGCGAGAGUCGACUGCUCUGAAAUGCAUUAGCCAUUACCUCUCUGUCGGCUCAAGCGUAAUAAAUCUUUGUUCGCUAGGUCGAUCCCGGAGGGGCCACGGCUUCUAAAGCACACUAUUUUUCACCUUUGACCUCGAAUCAGGUAGGACUACCCGCUGAACUUAAGCAUAUCAAUAAGCGGAGGAA
rnacentral:rRNA from 1 species